rnacentral:rRNA from 1 species
GACGAACGCUGGCGGCGUGCUUAACACAUGCAAGUCGAACGGAAAGGCACUGCUUUUGUGGGGUGCUCGAGUGGCGAACGGGUGAGUAACACGUGAGUAACCUGCCCUUGACUUUGGGAUAACUUCAGGAAACUGGGGCUAAUACCGGAUAGGAGCUCCUGCUGCAUGGUGGGGGUUGGAAAGUUUCGGCGGUUGGGGAUGGACUCGCGGAUUAUCAGCUUGUUGGUGGGGUAGUGGCUUACCAAGGCUUUGACGGGUAGCCGGCCUGAGAGGGUGACCGGCCACCAUGGGACUGAGAGACGGCCCAGACUCCUACGGGAGGCAGCAGUGGGGAAUAUUGCACAAUGGGCGGAAGCCUGAUGCAGCAACGCCGCGUGCGGGAUGACGGCCUUCGGGUUGUAAACCGCUUUCGCCUGUUACGAAGCGUGAGUGACGGUAAUGGGUAAAGAAGCACCGGCUAACUACGUG